AUGUAGCACGAGCAUGGCUCCAUUACAAGUGGCUGCUAAAGAUGAGUCAAAAAUAGAUGAAUCAGAUUUUAAGGUUCCCAAGUUAACAUUAGCGGAGAAGAAUAAUAAGAUAAAUAGGUACAAGGAGAAGAAAAAAGCCAGAAAUUAUAACAGAAAAAUCAAUUAUCCAUGUAGGAAGAUUCUAGCCGAUAGCAGACAUCGAGUUCGAGGAAGGUUUGCGAAGAAUGAUGAGGUUCCCCAAGCGGCAUCGAGGCCACCCACAUCUGUCGAUCAUUAAUUUGAUGACGUUGAUGAAAGAAUAGUAGCGAAGCAACAUGAAGAAAGGCUUCAGUCUUCCACAACAAUGGCUCUUAGAAGCCAUGGACAUGAUUAAGAUCAUAUAAAUAAGUUCUAAAUUCUAGUUGUUAUUUUCCUUCAUGUACAUUGCUUUCACAACUAUCCACU